rnacentral:rRNA from 1 species
CGAAAGCCUGACGGAGCAACGCCGCGUGAGGGAUGAAGGCCUCUGGGCUGUAAACCUCUUUUUUCAAGGAAGAAGAUCUGACGGUACUUGAAGAAUAAGCCACGGCUAAUUCCGUGCCAGCAGCCGCGGUAAUACGGGAGUGGCAAGCGUUAUCCGGAAUUAUUGGGCGUAAAGCGUCCGCAGGCGGCCUUGAAGGUCUGUCGUUAAAGCGUGGAGCUUAACUCCAUUUAAGCGAUGGAAACUACAAGGCUAGAGUGUGGUAGGGGCAGAGGGAAUUCCCGGUGUAGCGGUGAAAUGCGUAGAUAUCGGGAAGAACACCAGUGGCGAAGGCGCUCUGCUGGGCCAUAACUGACGCUCAUGGACGAAAGCCAGGGGAGCGAAAGGGAUUAGAUACCCCUGUAGUCCUGGCCGUAAACGAUGAACACUAGGUGUCGGGGGAAUCGACCCCCUCGGUGUCGUAGCCAACGCGUUAAGUGUUCCGCCUGGGGAGUACGCACGCAAGUGUGAAACUCAAAGGAAUUGACGGGGGCCCGCACAAGCGGUGGAGUAUGUGGUUUAAUUCGAUGCAACGCGAAGAACCUUACCAGGGUUUGACAUCCUGCGAAUUUCUUGGAAACGAGAGAGUGCCUUCGGGAGCGCAGAGACAGGUGGUGCAUGGCUGUCGUCAGCUCGUC